CACUAGUGAUUAGAGUUUGAUCCUGGCUCAGAUUGAACGCUGGCGGCAGGCCUAACAUAUGCAAGUCGAGCGGAUGAGGGGAGCCUUGCAUCCCUUGAUUUAGCGGCGGACGGGUGAGUAAUGCCCUAGGAAUCUGCCUGGUAGUGGGGGAUAACGUUCCGAAAGGAACGCUAAUACCGCAUACGUCCUACGGGAGAAAGCAGGGGACCUUCGGGCCUUGCGCUAUCAGAUGAGCCUAGGUCGGAUUAGCUAGUUGGUGAGGUAAUGGCUCACCAAGGCGACGAUCCGUAACUGGUCUGAGAGGAUGAUCAGUCACACUGGAACUGAGACACGGUCCAGACUCCUACGGGAGGCAGCAGUGGGGAAUAUUGGACAAUGGGCGAAAGCCUGAUCCAGCCAUGCCGCGUGUGUGAAGAAGGUCUUCGGAUUGUAAAGCACUUUAAGUUGGGAGGAAGGGCAUUAACCUAAUACGUUAGUGUUUUGACGUUACCAACAGAAUAAGCACCGGCUAACUUCGUGCCAGCAGCCGCGGUAAUACGAAGGGUGCAAGCGUUAAUCGGAAUUACUGGGCGUAAAGCGCGCGUAGGUGGUUCGUUAAGUUGGAUGUGAAAGCCCCGGGCUCAACCUGGGAACUGCAUCCAAAACUGGCGAGCUAGAGUACGGUAGAGGGUGGUGGAAUUUCCUGUGUAGCGGUGAAAUGCGUAGAUAUAGGAAGGAACACCAGUGGCGAAGGCGACCACCCUGGACUGAUGCUGACCACUGAGGUGCGAAAGCGUGGGGAGCCAAACAGGAUUAGAUACCCUGGUAGUCCACGCCGUAAACGAUGUCNACCUAGCCGUUGGAAUCCUUGAGAUUUUAGUUGNCGCAGCUAACGCAUUAASUUGACCGCCUGGGGAGUA
rnacentral:rRNA from 1 species